rnacentral:rRNA from 1 species
GAUGAACGCUAGCGGCAGGCUUAAUACAUGCAAGUCGAACGGCAGCAUCACCUUCGGGUGGAUGGCGAGUGGCGCACGGGUGAGUAACGCGUACAAGACCUACCUUUUACAGGGGGAAAGUCGCUGGAAACGGCGAAUAAUCCCGCAUAAGACUACACUACUGCCUGGUAGAGUAGUAAAAGGUUUCGACCGGUAAGAGAUGGUUGUGCGUCCCAUUAGCUAGAUGGUAAGGUAACGGCUUACCAUGGCGACGAUGGGUAGGGGGCGUGAGAGCGUGAUCCUCCACACGGGUACUGAGACACGGACCCGACUCCUACGGGAGGCAGCAGUAAGGAAUAUUGGUCAAUGGAGGGAACUCUGAACCAGCCAUGCCGCGUGUGUGAAGAAUGCCCUUUGGGUUGUAAAGCACUUUUGGAUAGGAAGAAAUGCGGGGACUAGUCCCUGAGUAGACGGUACUAUCAGAAUAAGCACCGGCUAACUCCG